rnacentral:lncRNA from 1 species
CCACCAAAUGGCCACGUCCCUGCGUAAGCUGCAAAGACAGAGCAGAGGAAGUGAGUGGAGGAGGCUCCAGGGCGGAGACAGACACACGCCUGGACACGAGAGAGCUCUGGAAUCCUUGGGAGACAGGAAGAUGGCAGCUUGUCCCACCACCAGUACUUCACUCAGGGAAGAGGGCUGUACAUUCUUUUUUCCAGACACAAACUAUCACAUAUAAGAAUCACACUUCUUACAACACAGAUCUCUCUGUGUGGAACAUAGAGGCUGUGUUGACAUUGACUCUCAACUCCUUCGGUUUUGAAGCCUUGCUAUUUGAAAUAAAUAAUCUAGGUUAAUACUGCA